ACAGCAGUAGCCGCGGUAAUACAGAGGGUGCGAGCGUUAAUCGGAUUUACUGGGCGUAAAGCGUGCGUAGGCGGCUUCUUAAGUCGGAUGUGAAAUCCCUGAGCUUAACUUAGGAAUUGCAUUCGAUACUGGGAAGCUAGAGUAUGGGAGAGGAUGGUAGAAUUCCAGGUGUAGCGGUGAAAUGCGUAGAGAUCUGGAGGAAUACCGAUGGCGAAGGCAGCCAUCUGGCCUAAUACUGACGAUGAGGUACGAAAGCAUGGGGAGCAAACAGGAUUAGAUACCCCAGUAGUCCCUGUCUCUUAUAC
rnacentral:rRNA from 1 species